rnacentral:sRNA from 1 species
GCCAGGCACGGUGGCGCAUGUCUGUAAUCCCAGUGGCUCAGGAGGCUGAGGCAGGAGGAUUUUGAGUUCACAGCCAGCCUCAGCAACUUAAGAGACCCUGAGCAACUUAGCAAGACCCUAUCUCUA